UACGUAGGUGGCAAGCGUUGUCCGGAAUUAUUGGGCGUAAAGAGCGUGUAGGCGGCCACUUAAGUCCUGCGUGAAAUCUUGCGGCUCAACCGCAAGCGGUCGUGGGAAACUGGGUGGCUAGAGUGCGGGAGAGGAGAGUGGAAUUCCUGGUGUAGCGGUGGAAUGCGCAGAGAUCGGGAGGAACACCAGUGGCGAAGGCGGCUACCUGGACCAGCACUGACACUGAGGCACGAAAGCGUGGGGAGCAAACAGG
rnacentral:rRNA from 1 species